ACCAUCUGGUGGGUCAUCUGGUGGAUGAUUCCAGCAGACUGUCAGAUUUCCUGCCGUGCUGAAUACCUCCAGACCACUGGGAGUCCUAACAGCUAAAGGGGUAAAAGAGGAGAAUGUUAAUUUUGUUGUCAGCUAAUGUGGGUCAAAGUGUCUCACGUGUUUGCUUGGCGCGGCCUCCUGAUUCCCUCCUCCUGCAAAUCCUCCUGAUUGCCAGCAGCUGCUGGACCUGCACACCUGAACCACAUCUACAAUUAAGCUUGUUCACCACGCCAGCCUCAACCGUAACCCGCCACAUCCAGCUUCAUUCAUGACUUUUGCCUCCGGAUUUGGACUGCUCUGCCUUCAACUAGUCUGUCUGCUCCGCUUCACCAUUCCCAGCCCACCUCAGCCAUCAUUUCAUUCAAACCUUCAGCUCCACUUCUUCAAACUACAAUAAACUGUC